GACAGAGGGGGCAAGCGUUGCUCGGAAUCACUGGGCGUAAAGGGCGCGUAGGCGGGAUGGCAAGUCAGUCGUGAAAUCUCUCGGCUCAACCGAGAAACGUCGGCUGAUACUGCCGUUCUUGAGGGAUGCAGAGGAGACUGGAAUUCCCGGUGUAGUGGUGAAAUGCGUAGAUAUCGGGAGGAACACCAGUGGCGAAGGCGACUACCUGGCCCAUUCUUGACGCUGAGGCGCGAAAGCUAGGGGAGCGAACGGG
rnacentral:rRNA from 1 species